GUCUGGACAUCCAUAAACCAACUGUUCUGUUUCUCACGGAGAAAAAGCUUAAAUUACAGCCAGUGGGCCUGAGCUCUGAGAAUUCUCAACUGUUUCCACGUGAGAUGAGACCUUUGCACCGAAGGAGAUGAAACACACAACUUUUCUUUCUGGAAUCAUUUUGUGCACCACUUCUUUCCAGAAGUGCAGUGCUACCUCCGGGACGUGGAAGCAGAAUGCACGAGCAGAUGUCUUGAGCCCACAGGUGCAAGGAUUAACGGUUGAAAAUAAAAGGUCCUGGAC